GACGAACGCUGGCGGCGUGCUUAACACAUGCAAGUCGAACGAUGAACCCGGAGCUUGCUCCGGCGGAUUAGUGGCGAACGGGUGAGUAACACGCGAGUAACCUGCCCUUGACUCUGGGAUAACUGCUAGAAAUGGUAGCUAAUACCGGAUACGACCCUCGGUGGCAUCACCAGGGGGUGGAAAGAAUUUCGGUCAAGGAUGGACUCGCGGCCUAUCAGCUAGUUGGUGAGGUAACGGCUCACCAAGGCGACGACGGGUAGCCGGCCUGAGAGGGUGACCGGCCACACUGGGACUGAGACACGGCCCAGACUCCUACGGGAGGCAGCAGUGGGGAAUAUUGCACAAUGGGCGCAAGCCUGAUGCAGCAACGCCGCGUGAGGGAUGACGGCCUUCGGGUUGUAAACCUCUUUUAGUAGGGAAGAAGCGAAAGUGGCGGUACCUGCAGAAAAAGCACCGGCUAACUACGUGCCAGCAGCCGCCGUAA
rnacentral:rRNA from 1 species